GUUUAUUGUUGGCUAAAACCAACCAGGAUGAAUGCGGGCGUUGGAAGUAGAAUAUAUACAUAUACAUAUAAAAUUGG
rnacentral:lncRNA from 1 species